rnacentral:rRNA from 1 species
UCCCUAGAGCUUCGAGCUCUCUAAAGGCCCCGAGAUGACUACGACGUUGAUAGGCAGGGUGUGUAAGCGCUGUGAGGCGUUGAGCUAACCUGUACUAAUUGCCCGUGAGGCUUAACCAUACAACACCCAAG